CUCUUCCAUCCCUAGCCCCUCUGAACUCUCCUCCAUACGCAGCCUGGGUUUACCUCCCAGAGUCACACUGGUCCUGCUCUCCCACUCGUUUAGUAAAAACAAAACUCUAGAUUCCUGGUGUUUCCCUACCAUUGCGUUGGCUGGCAGGAUGCGGAAGGUGAAAGCCGGGCUAUUGCUGCUGAAGGCAGAGGCUGAGGUGUGUUCACGGCUGGAACUCAGAACUCAUUUCUCCAUAGAAACGAUGGUGUACUGUUAGAUAGGUUCUAGAGUGCAUUUAGAACUCCAGAUGAGGUAUGUGAGCCAAACGGACUUUUAUGAGUUCUCCUGGACACAUACCUACUCCUUUUAAGACAGGUGUGAGCCCCUUUGAGGGACCAGCCCACUCCACCUCUACUCCGGGACCAAGACUUCUGAGCUGUUGGGGAAACCAGGAACCCCCUUAGAUGUCCUGCUCUGAAGCUCUGCUCCUAAGGUCACGGGUCUAAAGAAUAUCAGGUUCUACACGGAGCAGAUAAAGCCAAGACACUAUUAGAAGUAAAACACUUUUGGCAGGCAGUAAGUGAUAGCACCGUUUGGAUAAUUUAAGGACAAAAGACAACAGGUAGAAACAAGUUCAGACCAAGAGCCUAGACACGGAGGAGAGAGAUGUUUUAGAGGAUGGCCAAAAGCCAUCAGCAUGGCACAGAGAAGAUCUAAGAUCCAAAUAAGCCCCAAACCAGACAAGUGGCCUGUGAAUCACAGACGACUGAUUGGCUGUGGACGGUAGAGUUCUUUUGCUGCCCUCUGAUAUGGUGAAUGAUAUGUUAAAUUUCCUGAUAGUGAAAUAUCCUUGCGUUCCUGGAAUAAACCCCAACUUACUUAUGAGACAACACUGUGCAUGUACCAGGCUGGAACCCAGGGCCCCAGGAGGACCCUGGAACCAAGAAUCUUCAGAAAUGUUGCCACGCUUGAUUACCAUAUGUGGACUGAUUCGAGAGUAGCCAAUCAGCUUAUAUGAGUCCAGCUGCAGCUUAGUGGCCCCAACUCCCUAAAUUUCACCCUGAACCUUGGAUUGAAGAGACCGAUUUGAGAGCUUGCUUUGCCUCUUGUCUCUUUACCAGUCGACCUUGCAAUAAAGCUCUUUCUUUUCUCAAA
rnacentral:lncRNA from 1 species